rnacentral:rRNA from 1 species
UACGUAGGGUGCGAGCGUUAAUCGGAAUUACUGGCGUAAAGCGUGCGCAGGCGGCUUUGCAAGACAGAUGUGAAAUCCCCGGGCUCAACCUGGGAACUGCAUUUGUGACUGCAAGGCUAGAGUACGGCAGAGGGGGAUGGAAUUCCGCGUGUAGCAGUGAAAUGCGUAGAUAUGCGGAGGAACACCAAUGGCGAAGGCAAUCCCCUGGGCCUGUACUGACGCUCAUGCACGAAAGCGUGGGGAGCAAACAGG